AGUUUUCUAUGUUCUUCCGCCCCCAAGAAAAUAGAUAUUUUCUGGUAUUUUCGAUUUCGCAUUUUUCUAAUCAUCUUCUUCCUCUAUCUCAUCUUAAAUUUCAAUUUGAAGAGAAAGGCAAAGGCGACAGAUUUUAUUAACUUGAUAUCAUGGACCCAUUUGUUUAUUUAAAUGGGAAACAUUGGGAAAUCAUAUAUUGUUGCGUUUGUCUUAAAUCUAUAGAAAAAGUCAAGCGACCAGAGAUGAAGGAUAAAUUUGAGUUUGGUGAACAACUGGAAUAUUUCUACCCUUUACUUGACAUGAUAUUUGAUUAUCUGAGUGAUAAGGACUUAGAUAAUGUAAUGCAAGUUAAAAAAUCAUGGGCAGCAGUAGCUGAGAGAAUUUUGCGAAAACGAUCUAAACCCUGUUGGGUGAGCUGUUAUCAAGAAAAUGGAAGAGUUUUGUUCAAAGAUAGUGGUAAUAUGCACUUCAGUAAUGGAACUACUGCUUUCAUUUUUUUUGGAAAACAUUAUAAUCUGAAUGAAUACAUUUCUCUGCAUGAGGAAAUCCAUUCUUUUCAGCAAAUGAAAUUUGUAGAGUAUUGCAGUAGGGAGAUCGUAAGCAGAAACAUUAAUUUUUGUGUUUUAACUUGCCCAAAAGUAGUCUCUUACUUUUCCCAAGAUAUUGAAAUCAGAAAUGGAUCCAUUUUUGAUACCUUAUUCUUACCUGAAAUACCUGGUAUAAAAACCAUUAUGUUUAACUGUAACUUUUCAAAACUGAAGAGAAACCCAGCUCUAUUGGAAACAUAUAUUAAACCAAACGAAGAAGUAAAAUGUCUUCUAGUCUUUGAUGAAUCUGAUAUACGCAGCUCCAUUGAUUUUCUGUUCAAGAUUAUUUUGAAAGAAUUUCUAUUUCAUAGAGGCAGCUGUGCAUGUGGGUUGGAUAUCAUUGUAUGUAUAAACAAAAUGGCAGCAUUCACUUGUAAAACUGCUUUUAAAAUAUAGUUUUUUUGAACAAAAUACUAUGGAGCUAUCGGGAAAGAAGUAAUUCAAGAAUGACUAUAUUGAUCUUUGUAACUUGAAAGCAUUAAAAAAACUUGCAAAAAAAAGAAGGGAGGUCCGAAAAAAAAAUUAUUAGAACCAAAUAAUCAAUUGAAGUUUGUUGAAUGUUGAAUAUUUAUCAACUGCAAGGUCAGUAAGUGAGUUAUCUAAAAAAAAAAAUACUAACUUUGUUAUACUGAAAAUGAUUAUUUAAUUAUUUGAUAAAAAUUGCAAACUGGUAACGAAUAUUACACAUUAUUUUACCUGCCUUUUCAAACCUUAUCUGGCGAUUUUGGGUGCCUUUCAUGGUCUUUUUUUAAUCACUCGCGAUUUCCCACUUUAAUUUAUAUCUGCCCUUCUUCAAAAAUGAAUUUCAGAACCACAGCUAACGAAAUAGCUCUAGGAGGUGGAAUUACUCAUGGAGUUAAAUUGUUCAAAAACGACCCAAAACUGACUGAGCAGAUACGCAGCAGACAUGAAACAUUUUGCAUUGCAUUUACAAAACAAAAGGGUGAAGAACCUGACUUCCAAGCUGUGUCGCGUGUCAUCGAAGGAAAUGAACUGAGUAGACGAGAACUGAAUAAGGAAUUGAUGGAGUUAAGAAAGAGCAUCGUCAUGAGAUCCAAUAGCAUCGGGUUGAGAAUUUGUUGCCAAGCAAAAAGAAGAAAAGGCAAGGAGUCUCUUAUAUUCAAUGCUCAUUUUCCAAAUACUCCAUUGUUUGGAGUGGAAGUUGAAGGAGAAGUCGGUUGGAACAGCAAUCUGCCUCAGGAUAAAGUUGCAGAGCAACCAGAGAGUUUCAGACCAAAAAGAUGCAAGGUACUCUAUCCUAAGUUCCAAUAUGAAUGGUCCUCCAUUUUUGUCGUGAUUACCUGGGGUAAUAUCAUUGAAAUGUAAGGUGUUUAUGUAACAGGUGUAAGGAAAAAUCUAGGUUGACUAUGCCAUGAACUUUCAAAUAUAUGAUUUCAUGCCUAUAUUCUAAACUAUCUUCGUCCAGAUUAAAUUCAGCCUUUAAUAUAAAAUAAUAUAAAUGUUAUAAUAUGCAAAACAUAAAUCUUAAAGCCCAUGGCUAAGGUCAAUCUAGAACUCCUUUGGAUGUUAAAUAUGUGAUGUUCUAAAAAGAAUUUAUGUUAAAUCGAUGUAUAAUUGUUGUUAAAUCCAAGAUAUAUUGAUGUAACUGAUGAAAUAAAGUAAUAUUUGUUCAA